rnacentral:rRNA from 1 species
UACGUAGGGGGCAAGCGUUGUCCGGAUUUAUUGGGCGUAAAGAGCGUGUAGGCGGCCAGGUAGGUCGGUUGUGAAAACUCGAGGCUCAACCUCGAGAUGUCGAUGGAAACCGUCUGGCUAGAGUCCGGAAGAGGAGUGUGGAAUUCCUGGUGUAGCGGUGAAAUGCGCAGAUAUCGGGAAGAACACCUAUGGCGAAGGCAGCUCUCUGGGACGGUACUGACGCUGAGGUGCGAAAGCGUGGGGGAGCAAACAGG